rnacentral:rRNA from 1 species
GACGAACGCUGGCGGCGUGCUUAACACAUGCAAGUCGAACGGAAAGGCCCCAGCUUGCUGGGGUUCUCGAGUGGCGAACGGGGGAGUAACACGUGGGCGAUCUGCCCUGCACUCUGGGAUAAGCCUGGGAAACUGGGUCUAAUAUCGUAUAGGACCGGGCCUUCGUGUGAGCGGUGGAGAGUUUUUCGGUGCAGGAUGGGCCCGCGGCCUAUCAGCGUGUUGGUGGGGGAAUGGCCUACCAAGGCGGCGACGGGUGGCCGGCCUGUGAGGGUGUGCGCCGACCAUGGGACUGCGAGAGGGACCAGACUCCUACGGGGGGCAGCAGUGGGGAAUAUUGUCCAAUGGGAGCGAGCGUGAGGAAGCGGCGCCGCGUGGGGGAUGACGGCCUUCGGGUUGUAAACCGCUUUCGGCAGGGACGAAGCUUUUGUGACGGUACCUGCAUAAGAAGCACCGGCUAACUACGUG